GACGAACGCUGGCGGCGUGCCUAACACAUGCAAGUCGAGCGAGGAACUUCGGUUCCUAGCGGCGGACGGGUGAGUAACACGUGGGUAACCUGGCUCAUAGAGGGGGAUAGCCUCUCGAAAGAGAGAUUAAUACCGCAUAAGAAGCGAAAGUCGCAUGGCUUUAGCUUUAAAGGAGUAAUCCGCUAUGAGAUGGGCCCGCGGCGCAUUAGCUAGUUGGUGAGGUAACGGCUCACCAAGGCGACGAUGCGUAGCCGACCUGAGAGGGUGAUCGGCCACAUUGGAACUGAGACACGGUCCAGACUCCUACGGGAGGCAGCAGUGGGGAAUAUUGCACAAUGGGCGAAAGCCUGAUGCAGCAACGCCGCGUGAGUGAUGACGGCCUUCGGGUUGUAAAGCUCUGUCUUUGGGGACGAUAAUGACGGUACCCAAGGAGGAAGCCACGGCUAACUACGUGCCAGCCGCCGCGGUAAGAC
rnacentral:rRNA from 1 species